rnacentral:rRNA from 3 species
GGUUAAGCGACUAAGCGUACACGGUGGAUGCCCUGGCAGUCAGAGGCGAUGAAGGGCGUACUAAUCUGCGAUAAGCGCCGGUAAGGUGAUAUGAACCGUUAUAACCGGCGAUACCCGAAUGGGGAAACCCAGUGUGAUUCGUCACACUAUCAUUAACUGAAUCCAUAGGUUAAUGAGGCGAACCGGGGGAACUGAAACAUCUAAGUACCCCGAGGAAAAGAAAUCAACCGAGAUUCCCCCAGUAGCGGCGAGCGAACGGGGAGGAGCCCAGAGCCUGAAUCAGCAUGUGUGUUAGUGGAAGCGUCUGGAAAGGCGCGCGAUACAGGGUGACAGCCCCGUACACAAAAGCGCAUGUGCUGUGAGCUCGAUGAGUAGGGCGGGACACGUGGUAUCCUGUCUGAAUAUGGGGGGACCAUCCUCCAAGGCUAAAUACUCCUGACUGACCGAUAGUGAACCAGUACCGUGAGGGAAAGGCGAAAAGAACCCCGGCGAGGGGAGUGAAAAAGAACCUGAAACCGU